rnacentral:rRNA from 1 species
UACGUAGGGUGCGAGCGUUAAUCGGAAUUACUGGGCGUAAAGCGUGCGCAGGCGGUUUUGUAAGCCAGAUGUGAAAUCCCCGGGCUUAACCUGGGAAUGGCAUUUGGGACUGCAAGGCUCGAGUGCGGCAGAGGAGACUGGAAUUCCUGGUGUAGCAGUGAAAUGCGUAGAUAUCAGGAGGAACACCGAUGGCGAAGGCAGGUCUCUGGGCUGACACUGACGCUCAUGCACGAAAGCGU